rnacentral:rRNA from 1 species
UACGUAGGUGGCAAGCGUUGUCCGGAUUUAUUGGGCGUAAAGCGCUCGCAGGUGGUUCAUUGCGUCGUGCGUGAAAGACCCCGGCUCAACUGGGGAGGGUCGUGCGAAACGGGUGAACUAGAGGCCAGUAGGGGGAUGCGGAAUUCCGGGUGUAGUGGUGAAAUGCGUAGAUAUCGGGAGGAACACCUGUGGCGAAGGCGGCCCCCUGGUUGGAUACUGACGCUGAUACGCGAAAGCGUGGGGAGCAAACAGG